rnacentral:rRNA from 1 species
GAUGAACGCUGGCGGCGUGCCUAAUACAUGCAAGUCGAGCGAACAGAUGAGAAGCUUGCUUCUCUGAUGAUAGCGGCGGACGGGUGAGUAACACGUGGGUAACCUACCUAUAAGACUGGGAUAACUCCGGGAAACCGGGGCUAAUACCGGAUAAUAUUUUGAACCGCAUGGUUCAAUAGUGAAAGACGGUUUCGGCUGUCACUUAUAGAUGGACCCGCGCCGUAUUAGCUAGUUGGUAAGGUAACGGCUUACCAAGGCGACGAUACGUAGCCGACCGGGGAGGGGGAUCGGCCACACGGGAACUGAGACACGGUCCAGACUCCUACGGGAGGCAGCAGUAGGGAAUCUUCCGCAAUGGGCGAAAGCCUGACGGAGCAACGCCGCGUGAGUGAUGAAGGUCUUCGGGUCGUAAAACUCUGUUGUUAGGGAAGAACAAAUUUGUUAGUAACUGAACAAGUCUUGACGGUACCUAACCAGAAAGCCACGGCUAACUACGUGCCAGCCGCCGCAGUAA